CUUGGCUCUUUUAAAAAAAAUAAAUAAAAUAAAAAGCAAACACCCCAAAAGUCCUCGGCGGCUGCUCCCGGGGUGGAAAGGCUCAGCACUGGCCUCCCCGCCUCUCCGUGCGGAGUCGCUGGGAAAGAGACGUCCCCCUGGGAGCUGACACCCGUGUGUGUUCCUUGCCUGAAUUUGCGGGAAGGGGUCUCCAAAUUGGACCGAGCCAGUUCUGAGCCAUGCAAGUGAGAAAAUCAGUGGUUUUGUUCAGACGCUUUCACUGCCCAUAGGUAACCCUGUACAGUAUUCAGGAAGACCAGGAUAUUCAAAUAUUGCUUCAUGACCCAUAUGCUGGUUUCUAAGCAGCUGAAUGCAAGUCAAACAAGGCAUCCCAUCAGCUGGGUACACAAUCACACUUUCCUUCUACACUUCACUGACAUGUCAGUCUGAGUGCAGCACCUCCUGUUACAUUGGUGCUUUUCAAAAUCUUGCAAGUAACUUAAAAAAAUACAAUCUGUGUUUCUAAAAAGAUGUUGAUUUGCAUACGCAAAUAUGGACCCUGAUUUUGCAAAGAUUCAAGCACAUGGUUAAUUUUAUACAGUGUGAGUAAUCUUAUUGAUUUCAGUGGGACUACUCAGAAUGCAUAACGUUAAGCAUGUGCAUAAGUCUUUGUAGAUUUGGCGUCAUGGUUUUUUGGAUAUGAUAAACGACCUAUUUUACUGCUGUGAACACCUAUAAUAUUUGAGGAUUCUAAAUGUAUGUAUGAACAGUCUGACAUAAAUUCUUCAUAGUCUCUAAUGAGAUGAAGAUUAUGCCUGCUGCCACUGGAAAGAAUACUGCAACAAUGAGAUUCUCCAAGCAGUACAUUUCUUAGGGAGAGUUGAAGUCUUUUGGACAAAGUCCCGGAUGGUUGGAGUCUUUUGGCCUUUCAUUACACCUGGAAUAUGUGUUGUAUAAUAAUGCUCCCAAAGAGCAUUGCUUGUUAUUUCUCAUUGCUUAAAUAUUUUGCAAGUAUAGUAUAAACACUAUAUUUGACAUUACCCUUCCUUUUACUCAAGGGUAUGGCAGAAGCAGGAAACUCAGAAAUAGGGUUGAGUUUUUGCACAUUCAGAGAUGAAUUUGGUGUUAGCUUGACAGAUGUUGGAGGAAAUGGAACACCUCUUCUUUCCAUCUGAGCCAUCAGAUUGACAGGCUACAAUAUUCAUUUGUCAUCAACAUGCACCGAGAUCCUGAGCAAGCUUCCCAUGAUGUCAGUAGAAAGGCUUCCAUUGACUUUGUUGGGAGUUGGAUCAGGCCCCAUUUUCCAUUUUCAAUUAUGUCUCAAACAUGAUAUAUGUAUACCAGCAAUCAGCAAAGUGUGCAGAGUUUGCAGCUUUCUCACCCAUAUUUGGCUCUAGUCUGUAUGGCUCAAGAAUUGUAUAAAUAGGACAAAAUCAUGGCCCAGUCUCCAUAGUUUAAUUAAUUAAGUAUAGGUGGUCUCACAGGUAGAGUGUGUGUGUGUGUGUGUGUGUAUAUAUAUAUAUAUAUAUAUAUAUAUACACACACAGAGAGAGAGACCUAUAGUGGGAAGAGUGGCUUUAGGUGACAUCAUGCAAGAGGUUUAUUUCUAUGAUUCUGAUGUGUGGGGGUGGUAUGGGUUCACAAAUCGAACAGGAAAUUAAAUGAAGCAUUUGGACAGGAAGGAUAAGUUACAUGUGGUCUUUGCUCUAAAUUUUUGAGAAGGAUUUUAAUACAGUGACCACACAUAGACACACAAAACUGUACAUGCCUCACAUUCUCCUAUAUAAUACUAAAGUUGUUACAGACUAUUACAGUUAGGAAUUAUUACACACACAGUAUGUUAAAAGAACUUUAUUAAGUCAAGCACUGUAUGAAACAGGGAUCUGUGGAACAAAUACUAUUUGAUCAUAUAACUAAAGACUGGUUCAGAAUGCCUAGACACAAAGGGGCAAAAAGGUAACUUAAAUUUGGUGUUUCCUAACUUUUGAGUGCUUGACUUUGCAACCUUAAUAAUAUUCUUUUAACAUAGUUGUUGUCUGUGUAUAUGUAAUUUCCUAUGUUUUUAAAAAAAGCAAACUAAAAAAAAAACCAGAAAUUCCAUCAUGUAGCUUCAUGUUGAUCCCCAUCAUGAGUCAUCAGCAGGGCUGGAACCUUUAAGUUCCCAGACUUCUGCAACUUAGUAACUGAUAACAGUAGCACAGCGGGAUCUGUGAGUCAUGUCCGGGGC